rnacentral:lncRNA from 1 species
UAAGAGAUCCUUAACAUCUGUUGGCUGAGCUGGCGAGUUCUUUGCAUGAGAAGCCAUGAGUAGAUUGAGCUGCAGCCUGACAUCUGGAAUGCUCUUUCUAAUUACAGUACUCGCAGAAGGAAGACAGAUAUGAGGAAGAGAUCAAGGUCCUUUCCGACAAGCUGAAGGAGGCUGAGACUCGGGCUGAGUUUGCGGAGAGGUCAGUAACUAAAUUGGAGAAAAGCAUUGAUGACUUAGAAGAUAAGUUUCUUUGCUUCACUUCUCCCAAGACUCCCUCGUCGAGCUGGAUGUCCCACCUCUCUGAGCUCUGCAUUUGUCUAUUCUCCAGCUGACCCUGGUUCUCUCUCUUAGCAUCCUGCCUUAGAGCCAGGCACACACUGUGCUUUCUAUUGUACAGAAGCUCUUCGUUUCAGUGUCAAAUAAACACUGUGUAAGCU